rnacentral:rRNA from 1 species
UACAGAGGUCUCAAGCGUUGUUCGGAUUCAUUGGGCGUAAAGGGUGCGUAGGCGGCGCGGUAAGUCGGGUGUGAAAUCUUGGAGCUUAACUCCGAAACUGCAUUCGAUACUGCCGUGCUUGAGGACUGGAGGGGAGACUGGAAUUUACGGUGUAGCGGUGAAAUGCGUAGAUAUCUGGAGGAACACCGGUGGCGAAGGCGGCAUCCUGGACCGACACUGACGCUGAAAAGCGAAAGCCAGGGGAGCAAACGGG